rnacentral:rRNA from 1 species
UACGGGGGGAGCAAGCGUUGUUCGGAUUUACUGGGCGUAAAGGGCUCGUAGGCGGCCAACUAAGUCCGACGUGAAAUCCCCAGGCUUAACCUGGGAACUGCGUCGGAUACUGGAUGGCUUGAAUCCGGGAGAGGGAUGCGGAAUUCCAGGUGUAGCGGUGAAAUGCGUAGAUAUCUGGAGGAACACCGGUGGCGAAGGCGGCAUCCUGGACCGGCAUUGACGCUGAGGAGCGAAAGCCAGGGGAGCAAACGGG